GAGGGCGCAGCUCAGUGGCAGAGCGCGUGCUCAGCAUGCAUGAGGUCCUGGGUUCAAUCCCCAGUCCCUCCA
rfam:Camelus ferus unplaced genomic scaffold scaffold1148, whole genome shotgun sequence.